CGUUUUAGUAAAUCGUGCGCACGAUUUAGUAAAUCGAGGGAACGAAAUAUAAAUUAUGCGCACGAUUUAGCCUACUAUUUUUUUCCUGCAUGUCAUGUCCGGGGCUCCGUAGUAGUCUACUGGAAAACAAGACAUAAAUACUGAUGAAGGAAAUGUUUUGCAGUGUCAGUCUGCACAGUUAGUUUUUAUUUGGGGCCCUCUGCUGGUCACGAGCGAUUAAACCACUCAAUGUGCAACACACUUCUUAUCAAUAAAGUAUGAAAUACAAUAUAUUAUUACCUUAUGAAAAUUAGAACUUUGAGAAGAUUUUUUAUUACUUUUUUUAUUAUUUUUUUUUUUUUUUUGGAGCAUCUUUAUAAGUGUAAAAUGGACUUUCCUAAUUUUGUUUAAAUGUUUGUCCCUGUUCAAUCAAUUAUAAUACAGAAAAGAGAGGACUGCAACCUUUGGAGGUCUUUUAUACUGGUGAAAAGUGGGAAGUUGAUUACAUUGAGAAAUCUCAGUUGAACUGCCUUUGUACAGCUAACGUCUUGUUUUGGGGUUGAGAAACGGUCCCAAAUAGAAACAAGGAAGUGACAGAAAGACUGACAGACAGACACGGUUUUAUACUUUGCAGAACAACAAAAACGGUUAAAACCAUUCAGAAUGUGGAAAGCAAGAGUCUUCUGUUUCUUCAUCUGUACAGACUGUCUACUUUACAUUAGUUGUGCUGUGAUUGGAAUAUGAGGGAGAAGACUUUUCACGUCAGAAACCCACCUGGCUACGAGACAGCAAGUACUUUGGCAGAUUAGGGGUGCGUUUCCCAAAAGCAUUGUGUAAAUAACCAUAAGUAUAUUUUGUUAUAGAAAAGGUGAUUGUCUUUUAUUUUGAAAUUUCUGUAGUGAAAUGGUUGACUUCCGGUCUUAAGCUACGCGCAUUUGUUUUCCUGUGGAAGCGCGCGCGCCCUGGCUAGCGCAGUUUAUAGUAUAUAGCUUGUUAGCCCAAAUACGGCAAUAACUUCGACACGGAGCCAUGGUAAAUGUCAAAUUCAUACUUGCAGCCCCUCCGAAGAGGCAAAGGGUAUGUUAAAUAAGUUGAGAUAUGAGCAUUUUGUCUGUUAAUAUGUUCGUUUUGCACAAAUGUAAGACAGCAGUAUAUUAACGAUGUUAGCUGAUCAGUUACAUGUUUUAUAUACAUUUCAGCUCUUACGUUGGUGAUAUGGUGAAUGGAUUAAGGUUCAUAAAGGAUUAAAUAUCAUAAAACCAUCAGUAAAAGUCUCAUCCUUGUUCGGGGGCAUGUAACACAUUGUUAGCCAUCUAGCAUCGCAAGUUCCGUCGUUACUUACAUAGUUCAACAAUUGGGUGUUUCCCAAAACCAUCGUUCAAACGAACAUUCGCAAACUGCAUCGCAAACUUGUGUGGUUGGAAUGACAGCUCUCGAGCUGUAGUUAGAAGCAUAGUUUCUUGUUUUUAUGACAUGUGGACUUAAUAAAUCGUUAUCUUGAGCAAAAUAAGCAAGCUGACACUAAGUACAAUGUAUAUAUUUUAUUUCAUACAAAUGUCAUUUAUAUGUUUUAGUUUGUCAAAAGAUUUAAAGCACUGUUUUUGGAGAGUGCGCAUGCGCAUACGUGCUCUAGUAUGUCAGAACAAGCAUUUGAUUUAAUCUGGAAAUAAAGCAAAAUAACUGAGGAAAGUGAGAAUUAGUCCUCUAAUGCCAAGUCCGUAAUUUAUAGCAAAAAAUCUAGCAUUAAUUCGAUCUCAAACGGAUUCAUUUAAAGAAGUUAUUACUCACCACCUGCGUGACGUCAUUCACCAACGUGGUUGAACGACAGGUUUGCGACAAUACGGUUUCGGGAAACAGUCGUGACUAGCUAGUUGAUUUGUUCAACGAUAUCGUACUAUGGUAGUUCAGCAGCGAGUUACAUCGUUGUUCGGGAAACGCACCCCUGAUGGAUUCUUCUUUGAGAAACUGGUUCAGACCGCUGAAUUCAACAGGUGGGCCAGACAACUCAUCCGCGUGCGUUCUCACCGCCGCCAUCUUUGGACAGAUCUCAGAUGAUUCUGGCUUAUACACACUGCUGCCUGAUCCUGAUACUCAAAUACAACUAACUGUCAGAAGAGGUGAACCAUAGAGACCCACAACAUCAUUACCAAGAGGUACCAGAGUAAACCAGGAAGAGAAUGUUUAUUUAUCCACACAAAAAACUACUCAUACAAUAUAAUUAACUUAGUUCAAAUUGAACGAACAGUCCUGCAAAUGUCACAACACAGAACUGGACCAAAAAAGAGAUCAGGGUGAUCCGUCUGUCUGUCUGUGCAUCAUAUUUAGAGCAGAGCACCGGUGGUGUGAGGACCCUAUUGUAAUUGCUCGGUCUAUUAUUCUUCUUCUCUGAAACUAAUCGCAAUUUCGAGGGCCUAAACAUGCUUGAAAACUCAACUUUGCACAUGCAUCAGAAGUGGUGAAAAUUUACAUAUGAUAUGGGUUUCAGAAUUAGGUGUGGCAAAAUGGCUUGAUAGCACCACCUACAAAGAUUUCAAUUAAGUGCCCUUCACGCUAAAUUUCACGAAUGAAAUUCGGUACACACAUGUAACAGCCAAUACCUACAAAAACGUCCCAGAGUGCAAAAUCUAUAAACCCAACAGGAGACUUACGAUAUUUAGAAUUUUCCCAGCAAAAUUUUGGUAGUUUUUGACAUUUCCAGACAUUGUACUUUAAUGAACUCAUCAGAAUAACAUCAUAUUUGGUCAGUCUAAUCUAAAGGCCUUUGCGACAUUAAAUUGCGAAGAUCUAGAGUUUUCUCUGAAGGGCGUGUCCGCGGCGGCCUGACAAAAUUCGAUGUUUCGCCAUGAAACAGGAAGCUGUUGUAACUCAGGCAUACAAUGUCCGAUCUGCCCCAAACUUCACGUGUGAUAAGGGUCCUGGCCUGAAGACAUUUACAUGCAAAUAUUCAGUUAGUCAUAGUACCACCUGCUGGAAACAGGAAAUGGCAAUUCACUCACAGAAACACAUUUAAAUAUGCCAUGAAGUACCAAACGUGGUAGAAACAUGUUAAAUCAUGCAACACUUGGCUAAACGCUAAAGUAUUAACGCCACGAAACAGGAAGUUGUUGUAACUCUGUACACACAACUUGUAACUUGUUGUCUUUGCAAUUGACCCCUUGUCUACUUACAUGAUGUAUUUCCUGUAUUUGGCUCAAGCUUUCAAGUAGGUGUGAAGACUGCAAGUGUGUGUAGAAUUUUUGAUUACCCGAUGGGACACACUUAUAGUCUUGCAAAAAAUGCAAGCGUUUACAGCUUUUUUUUAAUUAUUAUUUUCAAUACUUUGCAUUUUAAAAUACACUUCUAAAUGUCUUCUAAACUGUCAUUCUAUUGUUCAUUCUAUCUUAUCCAUAUCUUUUAAUUACACACACACACACACACACAAAGCUAGUUGUGUCUUUCUACAGGUGAGUAGGCUAGAGGAGACUUCCUCUUUUCUACACAAUCUUCACUCACGCUUAACAGCUAUUGUGUAUUUUUUUAUCUCCAGUAUCUGUGUCUUAUCACACCAGGAUCAAGGUCUUCAGGAUUAAUAGAAAGUUAUAGGCAGAUGAGUUUGAUCAAGGUUGGAGCUUUUUUUUUUUUUUUUUGCAACUUCACUGUAUUCAUUAUACACUGAUCACACAGCUUAUUUAUACUUGAGAAACUUUAUAGUUAACAGUUAUACACGAGAUGCAAAAGAAAGAGUCUCUCAUGAGAUCUAAAUUAAUUUCAGGUUAGUCCAGCACCUUAUUUGUUGCUUUAUCAUAAAAUUAAAAUCAUACAAUUUUUAAUUAAAGGCACAAUUUAAAAUGAUUGAUUGUCACUGCAUUAGAUAAUAAAACAUCAAACCAUUUUUUCAGAUUAAACGACAUCGGGCAAACAUGAUGAGUUAAGUUAGUGAAGAGAAAAGAUCCUGCAGAGUCUGUUUGAUAUUUUAUCCAAUGCAAUAACAUUCACACAUUUUAAAGUGUCCAAAUACUCUCUGAGGCCACAUGAAAACAUGACAACACUAUAAAAUACAAUGUUAUGAUCUGAAGCUGUGGUUAUAUUGUUUUGAAAUGCACAGUAAGGACAUGGUGUAGUGAUGGAUGUGGAAAUGAAGGUAAGGAGGGGAAAUGAAGGGAAAUGAAGGGAAGUUAAGCAUUGCACCAUACUUUGUGUCAGUACGGAAGAUAGAGUUGUUUUCCAAUGUUCAAGGAUUUUAUGUAGUCAAAAAGUGCCGUAAAGCUUCACCAUGUGGAGCUUUAUUCUUCUUCUCUGGUCCUGGAUUCGUAUCGGUGAGUUCAAGAUUUGUAUGUGUGACUGUUUUACACUUCUGAUUUUCACUGGUCUUGUAUUUUUACAGCAGUAUUUCUUAAUACAAUAAAUAUGUUAAUCAUGGCUAAUGAUAUUUGUGUUUUCAGCUGUUGUUGUAGGAGCUUCAGAGACAAUUAUAGGAUACAGAGGAGAGAGAGUUGAGAUCAGAUGCUCAUAUGAAUCUAGAUAUGAAUCAAAUUCAAAGUAUUUUUGUAAAGGGGAGUGCAUCAUUGGAAUUAAAAACAUCAUGGUUAAAUCAGGAUCUCCAGCUAAAGACGAGAGAUUCUCCCUGACUGACAACACGACGAACAGAGUUUUCACCGUCACCAUCACUGAUCUGAGAACCGAGGAUGAAGGCAAAUACUGGUGUGCUGUGGAGAGGACUUUGUCUUUAACUGAUGUCUAUUCAGAGAUUUUGUUGAAGGUUAAACAGGGUUCAUUGACUCAAACCACUUCACCUGACACAAGUUCAUUUGGUAUCAUCAUCACAGGAGUUUUGGUUUUGCUCCUGAUAAGUGCUGUAUUGCUUAUUGUGGCCGUACGAAAGAAAAAGCAGACUUGUGGUCUGUUCUCCUCCUUCACCGAAGGGCUUCAUUUGACAUUAAGAAAAGGAGCAGAGAAUGAAUAUGAUGAAGGGAACCCGACUGUCCUGCCGAACUCACACACAGCUCAAAGUGAUAAUAUUUCUGCAGAAAAUGAGUUUCACAGACCUGUGAACACAGAACCAGCCGACACAGACCUCGAUUACACAAAUGUUACUUCUGCAGCGACAAACAGUCAGAAUCUGGAUCAGAUCUACACAGAACUCAACGCUAGUAAACAGAGUCACAUUUAUCAGUGUCUUAGAGCUGAUUCUGCUAGAAAAGAGUCGAUCUAUCACAACACUGAUUGAACGAUUGACUGAACACUCGUACUCAUACUGUAAAGAGCGAUGUUCACUAAUUAGGAAAUGGCUAAUCAGCACAAUGACAUCAUGACACGACUGAUCGGCUGAUGACCUCGCAAGAAAACAAACUAUCUCAGUCAGGAAACACUGUUUGAAUGGCCGUCAAUGGAGAAAGAUGCUGUUGAACCCAUAUAGUGUAGUUACGACAUCUACCAGCAGAGGUUAAUUGGUUCCUGCUAACCAGCUAAACCUCAACCACUCGGCAAGAACAGCUUUUGAUUGAGAAUUUAAAUAACUUUUUUUAGUAGUGUUGUAAAGUCAGAAUCAGAAAGAGCUUUAUUGCCAGGUAUGUUUACACAUAUGAGGAAUUUGUUCCUGAAGCUUCCACAGCACAAACAGAAUGACAGUGACAAGACACAGGUAAUACAAAUAAUAAAUAUAGAACAAGUAAAUAGGAAAUAACAAUAUAACGGAGGCCAGCUAGUAGUCACUGUGCGAGUCAACCUCAGUCCUCUGAUCUCAAGAGAUGCUCUAGCGACUGACGCUAGAGGUUGCAGCCUUUAGCCUUUAGCCAGAGUGUGUUGAGUAGGACCUGGGUAGAGGGGUUAUAUAUACAUAUAAACAUUUAAAAAUACAAAUUUACAAAAAUCGACAAUAGACGGUAUAUGUGUGUACCGGUAUGUUAUGUACAAAUGCAAGGAAAUGUAAAUAAGUAUGGUGUGAUAAAUAAAUAAAUAAAUAAAUAA